rnacentral:rRNA from 1 species
UACAGAGGUCCCGAGCGUUUGUUCGGAUUCACUGGGCGUAAAGGGUGCGUAGGUGGCGAGGAAAGUCGGAUGUGAAAGCUCGGAGCUCAACUCCGAAAUGGCAUUGGAAACUACCUUGCUCGAGGGUUGGAGGGGGGACUGGAAUUCUCGGUGUAGCAGUGAAAUGCGUAGAUAUCGAGAGGAACACCAGUGGCGAAGGCGAGUCCCUGGACAACUCCUGACACUGAGGCACGAAAGCUAGGGGGAGCAAACAGG